UUUUGAAAGAAAUGGCGCUACGCUCCACUUCUAGAUUUGGGAAACCAGCGGAAUUAAAGGAAACUGCUGCGACAUCUGGACACUGCGUGGCGCUGGCGCCGCUGGAGCGGCGGGCCCCGCGCCGGACCAGGACUCCCUCAGACUUUCCCGACCAUCCAGGCUCCAUGCUGAGGCUGCUUGCCACUCUUGUGUGACAGAAUGAAUGUGCAUUCCUCUUCACAAGAAUUGUUCUUGGUUGGAAGCACAUGCAGAAGAAGUGGUGAGUGGUAACAUCCCUGCCUGGAAGGAGCCCUAAGAAGUGCC